AACGAACGCUGGCGGCAUGCCUGACACAUGCAAGUCGAACGAGAUCUUCGGGUCUAGUGGCGCACGGGUGCGUAACGCGUGGGAAUCUGCCCUUUGGUUCGGAAUAACAGUUGGAAACGACUGCUAAUACCGGAUGAUGACGAGAGUCCAAAGAUUUAUCGCCAGAGGAUGAGCCCGCGUAGGAUUAGCUAGUUGGUGUGGUAAAGGCGCACCAAGGCGACGAUCCUUAGCUGGUCUGAGAGGAUGAUCAGCCACACUGGGACUGAGACACGGCCCAGACUCCUACGGGAGGCAGCAGUGGGGAAUAUUGGACAAUGGGCGAAAGCCUGAUCCAGCAAUGCCGCGUGAGUGAUGAAGGCCUUAGGGUUGUAAGGCUCUUUUACCCGGGAUGAUAAUGACAGUACCGGGAGAAUAAGCUCCGGCUAACUCCGUGCCAGCCGCCGCUGUAA
rnacentral:rRNA from 1 species